UUUCUCCAGGGAGCUCCACUAAUCUUUCCCUCAUCUCCAGAAGGAAGGGAAGGACCAAGGCGAUGAAGGACAAGUGAGCCAUUGCAGCCACACUCCCAGAUACAAGCACCCUUUGUUCUGCAGGAUAAAUACAGCCCGUGCUAUUUCAGAUGAUGAAGAUUUAUAAAAUUGACCAGAGAUCUCCCAAUACCCAGAAUUCAACCCCAAAUCUCUCCAGUUCUACAACUUUCCCUCUAGUUGGCGUUGCCUUCUAGAGUGAG
rnacentral:lncRNA from 1 species